CAGAGAAGCCCUAAUCGAAAAAACUGCCAAAGCCCCACCGCCGCCCCUUUUCUUCCGACGACAGUCCUUGGCGUCGCCGCCUCUUCUCCACCGGCGAUACUCCAGUACCGACGAACUCCGUGGUUUGCCACAUGUUAUAGGGAAGUUGACAAAUCUCGAGGUCCCAAAAUCUGAGUAGCAAUUGUAAUGAUCUGAUAGAGCUUCCCUGUCGCCGACGAGGAUUAGGAAGAAGACUUCUCUGCCGCUGAAUAAUCAAAAAGAGUAUGGAAGUUGGGCCUCACUCUAUGCCAGAUGGUGACAAACAUUGUAUUGCCAAUAAUUUACCCAAGGAAAACGAACCAGCCGAGCCUAUUGAGCUAGAUAAAGGAAAAUGUAUUGCUGAUGAUUUGUCUAGACUUGAAGAUCAACAAAGCUUAGAUACAAUUAUAAAAGAGAAGCUCAAAGAAAGAUGUGCUCUUAUUCCUGAAGAGUUGACCCCAAAAGUUGGCAUGGUUUUCAAAACAGAAGAGGAAGCAUAUGACUUUUAUAAUGUAUAUGCUGGAAAGGUGGGAUUCAGCACUCGAAAGUCUAAUAGAAAUCUAUGCCCUAUAACUGGUGUAGUGAAAUUUAGAAGGUUUUGUUGUUCUAAAGAGGGGAAGCGUACUGAAGAUAAACGUAGAAUCAAUGCCAAGCAUCGUCGGCCAGAGACAAGAUGUGGUUGUAUGGCAGAGUUGAAGAUAAGUCUUCGUGAAGAUGGUUUCUUUCAUGUGGUUAGUUUUAACGAGACUCAUAACCAUAUUAUUGCAACUCCUGAUAAAGUACACAUGUUAAGAUCACAAAGAAAGCUCUUUGAGGCACAAGCUACUCAAACUAAAAUGACAAAUAAGUCGGGGAUAACUUCAAAAGCAUCAAGAGAAUUGAUGUCUGAGAAUGUUUGUGGGCAUGAAAAUGUUGAAUUUAUUUCUUCAGAUCUAAAGAACUACUUGCAUUCGUAUCGGAGUGGGAAUAUGGAGAAAGGAGAGGCAGGUGGUUUUUUACAAUAUUUUCAAGACAUGCAAUCAAAGGACCCAUCUUUUGUUUAUGCAAUACAAUUGGACCAAGCUGAGCUAAUCACAAAUUUAUUUUGGGCAGAUGCACAAAUGAUAAUAGACUAUGGUCAUUUUGGUGAUGUUGUGCUUUUUGAUACAACUUAUAGAACAAACAAUGAACAUCGACCAUUUGCACUAUUUGUGGGGGUAAAUAGUUAUAAGCAAUCAAUCGUUUUUGGUGUUGCAAUGUUGUAUGAUGAAACUCCAAAUACAUUUGAGUGGUUGUUUAAGACUUUCAUCAAAACAAUGGGUGGGAAAAAACCAAAGACAAUUCUAAUUGAUGAUGAUGCAGCUAUGGUGAAUGCAAUCAAUUUAGUGUUGCCAGAAUCACAUCAUCAACUAUGUGUUUGGCAUAUUUUUCAGAAUGCCAGAAAACACCUUAGUGAUGUAUUUGAAAAAUUUAAGACAUUUUCUAAGGAUUUUGGUAGCUGCUUGUAUGAUUAUGAAGAUGUCAGUGAAUUUGAAAAUGCAUGGGAAAAUAUGAUUAACAAGUACAAUAUUCAAGAUAAUGAUUGGUUGCAAAAGUUGUAUAGCAAAAGGCAUAGGUGGGAUCUAGUGUUUGGCCGGGAAACAUUUUGUGCUGACAUAAGCACAACACAAAGAAAUGAGAGCAUGAGCAAUCGUCUUAAGAAAUAUCUUCAAAUUAAGUAUGAUUUGUCAGAAUUCCUUCAGCAUUUUGAGAGAGUAAUUGCUGAAAAGCGGUAUGAAGAGUUAAAGGCUGAAUUUGCAACAACACAAAACAUCCCAACCUUGAUAAUGCAAGUGGAUAUAUUGAAUUUUGCUUCUCAAAUAUAUACUCCGCCUAUUUUUUCCAUGUUUUAUAAUGAAGUAUGGCAGCAACUAAAUUGCAGCAUUGAAGAAGAUCAUGUUGUGACUGGAACAAUGACCGAGUAUGUGGUUAGUGUGUCUGGAAAAAAUCACCAACACAAAGUUGCUUUUGACUCGGUAGAUGAUUCAGUCAGUUGUAGUUGCAAAAAGUUUGAACAUGUUGGGAUCUUAUGUGGACAUGCAUUGAAAGUACUUGAUUAUAGACGUAUCAAGACAAUCCCCUCACGCUAUAUAUUGAAAAGAUGGACCAUUGAUGCAAAGGUGACGGCUGUUGAAGCAUUUUGUGGCUCUACCAUACUUUCUGACCGAAGCUUAAUGGCAACAUUACGUUACAAAGAAAUGUAUCGGUUAUUUAUUCAAAUAGCCAACAAAGCUGCACUUGCUGAGGAUACUUACAAAGUUGUUAUGGAGAUUGCAGAAAAGCUUUUGAAAGAGGUUACAGGAUGUUUAAAACACAUGACAUUUGAUCAGUCAUUUGUUGCAUCAGAGGGUAUGGAAGUAGAAACUAAUGAUACCACUAGCUUGCCUUGCAAAGAUCUUGAUCACAUAAAUGAUGCUAGUAGCAAUAAUGUCAUCUCUGCUGAAGGGGGGACAUCAAAUGUACAUUCUUUAAAGAGGCCAAGCAGAAAUUAAUGAUAUCAUUUUCCUUUAUUGGACUUCUUCCCACCAGAGAAGUUAUUUCCUUGAUAGGGAGGUACUGUGUUGCUUUUUUCUUCAUUCAGACCAUGGACUGAAAGAAGGGCAGAAAGGCCUAGUGAGAACUUGGGAUGUAAUUUUGAUUUGAAAGAAGCUUGAUAGGAAAGAGAUAGCAGCUCUACUUCUGGCAUAGGUGGUCCCAAUCCAUGAAUCCAUCCUUUAAACAGGGAAAUGCCAUUAUGGUGUCAGCACUCAGUAGGACUGUGUAAUUCUGUUUAUAUGAAAAAUUGAUGUUCAAGAAAAUUAUAUUUGACAAAAAUGACAUUGAUAAAUGAAGUGAGAGAAUACUUUCUGUGAAGCUCUGUGGGCAGUUUGGAAUUGGACUAAACUAAAGUCAGGUUUAUCUUAUUGCUGAACAUGUUAUUAAGAUCCAUCAUCCAUGUUGAAGGAGGGUUGAAAUCUUCUCUUCAUGGUUCAGGAACUGAGCUUGAGUUCCACAGCCUACAUAAUAAAGUCAGUUAUCCUCUGAAAGGUCACAUUCCUGAUGUUUUGGUGAAUGAGAUUCUCUUCAAUUGAAACGAGUCCUAUAAAAUUGUGCCACUGGAUAGAAAAGGAGUUCAACAUGUGAUUCCAAAGUGCAAUAUGACUUCAGGAAAUGGUUCAGCAGAUGGCUUCUCUUCCGGUGUAUGGAACAAGGGGUUUGAACUGAAUAACAAAUUCUUUUGUGGAUAUGGCUGGCACAGAAUAACAAAUGCUUCAACUGAUAUGUUCAAACUCAUGAAAUGGUGCAUAUAGCUUGGCUGAGAACCUCAGAAUUCUGUUUGGCUACUGGCAUUUAAAUGAGAUUUGAAAUAGUCCAAGCAGUUAGUUACAGUGAAA